rnacentral:piRNA from 1 species
CUUGAGAAAAAUGUGGCUGACCGA